CUCUACCAGUGACGUCUAUAGAUGGAGUC
rnacentral:piRNA from 1 species